AUUGAACGCUGGCGGCAUGCCUUACACAUGCAAGUCGAACGGUAACAGGUCUUCGGAUGCUGACGAGUGGCGAACGGGUGAGUAAUACAUCGGAACGUGCCCGAUCGUGGGGGAUAACGAAGCGAAAGCUUUGCUAAUACCGCAUACGAUCUACGGAUGAAAGCAGGGGACCGCCAGGCCUUGCGCGAACGGAGCGGCCGAUGGCGGAUUAGGUAGUUGGUGGGCUAAAAGCUUACCAAGCCGACGAGCUGGAGCUGGUCUGAGAGGACGACCAGCCACAAUGGGACUGAGACACGGCCCAGACUCCUACGGGGAGCAGCAGUGGGGAAUUUUGGACAAUGGGCGAAAGCCUGAUCCAGCCAUGCCGCGUGCAGGAUGAAGGCCUUCGGGUUGUAAACUGCUUUUGUACGGAACGAAAAGACUCUGGUUAAUACCUGGGGUCCAUGACGGUACCGUAAGAAUAAGCACCGGCUAACUACGUGCCAGCCGCCGCAGUAACAC
rnacentral:rRNA from 1 species